rfam:Mustela putorius furo unplaced genomic scaffold scaffold00066, whole genome shotgun sequence.
ACCUGCCUGGCUUAGUCAGUAGAGUGCAUGACUCUUGAUCUUGGGGUUGUGAGUUUGAGCCCCAUGUUGGGUA